GAGUACGGCCAGACCAGACUGAUUGCACCUGAUCCUGUCCGAUCUCAGAAGUUAAGUAGUCCCGGGCCCGGCUAGUACCUGGAUGGGAGACUGCCUAGAAAUCCCGGGUGCUGUAAGCU
rfam:Alligator sinensis unplaced genomic scaffold scaffold23_1, whole genome shotgun sequence